rnacentral:rRNA from 1 species
AGAGCUCGUAGGUGGUUUGUCGCGUUGUUCGUGAAAUCUCACGGCUUAACUGUGAGCGUGCGGGCGAUACGGGCAGACUUGAGUACUGCAGGGGAGACUGGAAUUCCUGGUGUAGCGGUGGAAUGCGCAGAUAUCAGGAGGAACACCGGUGGCGAAGGCGGGUCUCUGGGCAGUAACUGACGCUGAGGAGCGAAAGCGUGGGGAGCGAACAGGAUUAGAUACCCUGGUAGUCCACGCCGUAAACGGUGGGUACUAGGUGUGGGUUUCCUUCCUUGGGAUCCGUGCCCGUAGCUAACGCAUUAAGUACCCCGCCUGGGGAGUACGGCCGCAAGGCUAAAACUCAAAGAAAUUGACGGGGGCCCGCACAGGCGGCGGAGCAUGUGGAUUAAUUCGAUGCAACGCGAAGAACCUUACCUGGGUUUGACAUGCACAGGACGCCGGCAGAGAUGUCGGUUCCCUUGUGGCCUGUGUGCAGGUGGUGCAUGGCUGUCGUCAGCUCGUGUCGUGAGAUGUUGGGUUAAGUCCCGCAACGAGCGCAACCCUUGUCUCAUGUUGCCAGCGGGUAAUGCCGGGGACUCGUGAGAGACUGCCGGGGUCAUCUCGGAGGAAGGUGGGGAUGACGUCAAGUCAUCAUGCCCCUUAUGUCCAGGGCUUCACACAUGCUACAAUGGCCGGUACAAAGGGCUGCGAUGCCGCGAGGUUAAGCGAAUCCUUUUAAAGCCGGUCUCAGUUCGGAUCGGGGUCUGCAACUCGACCCCGUGAAGUCGGAGUCGCUAG